rnacentral:rRNA from 1 species
ACGGGAGGCAGCAGUGAGGAAUAUUGGUCAAUGGCCGAGAGGCUGAACCAGCCAAGUCGCGUGAAGGAUGAAGGAUCUAUGGUUUGUAAACUUCUUUUAUAGGGGAAUAAAGUGUGGGACGUGUCCCAUUUUGUAUGUACCCUAUGAAUAAGCAUCGGCUAACUCCGUGCCAGCAGCCGCGGUAAUACGGAGGAUGCGAGCGUUAUCCGGAUUUAUUGGGUUUAAAGGGUGCGUAGGUGGUAAUUUAAGUCAGCGGUGAAAGUUUGUGGCUCAACCAUAAAAUUGCCGUUGAAACUGGGUUACUUGAGUGUGUUUGAGGUAGGCGGAAUGCGUGGUGUAGCGGUGAAAUGCAUAGAUAUCACGCAGAACUCCAAUUGCGAAGGCAGCUUACUAAACCAUAACUGACACUGAAGCACGAAAGCGUGGGUAUCAAACAGGAUUAGAUACCCUGGUAGUCCACGCAGUAAACGAUGAUUACUAGGAGUUUGCGAUACACAGUAAGCGUCUACAGCGAAAGCGUUAAGUAAUCCACCUGGGGAGUACGCCGGCAACGGUGAAACUCAAAGGAAUUGACGGGGGCCCGCACAAGCGGAGGGACAUGUGGGUUAAUUCGAUGAUACGCGAGGAACCUUACCCGGGUUUGAACGUAGUCAGACCGGCCUUGAAAGAGGUCUUCUAGCAAUAGCUGAUUACGAGGUGCUGCAUGGUUGUCGUCAGCUCGUGCCGUGAGGUGUCGGCUUAAGUGCCAUAACGAGCGCAACCCUUAUCACUAGUUACUAACAGGUCGUGCUGAGGACUCUGGUGAGACUGCCAGCGUAAGCUGUGAGGAAGGUGGGGAUGACGUCAAAUCAGCACGGCCCUUACAUCCGGGGCGACACACGUGUUACAAUGGCAUGGACAAAGGGCAGCUACCUGGCGACAGGAUGCUAAUCUCUAAACCAUCUCUCAGUUCGGAUCGGAGUCUGCAACUCGACUCCGUGAAGCUGGAUUCGCUAGUAAUCGCGCAUCAGCCAUGGC